CAACAAUCAGAAGCAGGCAGCCUCGCCCCCGAUCGGGACGGUGUUGUGUUAGUAACCAGAAACUCUGGCAGACGGGCGUCGCUAACCCCGCGGCACGCUGGGCCUGUUUACGGCCACAACGCCGGCACGAACCAGUCAUCGCCCGAAAGCCACCGAACCAGCGCUCUUCUCCCUGUGACCCCAGCGGGCUGCUGGGAUAGGUCAGAGACACAGAGCCUCCCAAACGCAGGGAUUUGCCUACAUUUUAAAAACUGGAUGUGGCUUAGGCUGCUGGAGAGAACGCAGCAUUAUUCUCCAGCGAUGAGGAGGAGGGCGAAAUAUCAAACCUGUUGAAUUUGUACGGUAAAGAAUG